rnacentral:tRNA from 1 species
GGAGAUAUAGCUCAGUGGGUAGAGUGCUUGCCUCACAUGCACAAUGCCCUGGGUUCAAUCCCAGCACCA